CCUACGGGAGGCAGCAGUAGGGAAUCUUCCACAAUGGGCGAAAGCCUGAUGGAGCAACGCCGCGUGGGUGAAGAAGGUCUUCGGAUCGUAAAACCCUGUUGUUAGAGAAGAAAGUGCGUGAGAGUAACUGUUCACGUUUCGACGGUAUCUAACCAGAAAGCCACGGCUAACGACGGGCCCGCCGCCGCGGUAAUAAGUAGGUGGCAAGCGUUAUCCGGAUUGAUUGGGCGUAAAGUGAACGCAGGCGGUCUGUUAAGUCUGAUGUGAAAGCCUUCGGCUUAACCGGAGUAGUGCAUUGGAAACUGGGAGACUUGAGUGCAGAAGAGGAGAGUGGAACUCCAUGUGUAGCGGUGAAAUGCGUAGAUAUAUGGAAGAACACCAGUGGCGAAAGCGGCUCUCUGGUCUGUAACUGACGCUGAGGUUCGAAAGCGUGGGUAGCAAACAGGAUUAGAUACCCUUGUAGUC
rnacentral:rRNA from 1 species